rnacentral:rRNA from 1 species
CCUACGGGUGGCAGCAGUGGGGAAUAUUGGGCAAUGGGCGCAAGCCUGACCCAGCAAAGCCGCGUGAAGGAAGACGGCUUUCGGGUUGUAAACUUCUUUUCUCAGGGACGAAGAAAGUGACGGUACCUGCGGCAUAAGCCACGGCUAACUACGUGCCAGCAGCCGCGGUAAUACGUAGGUGGCAAGCGUUAUCCGGAUUUACUGGGUGUACAGGGCGUGUAGGCGGGAAAGCAAGUCAGAUGUGAAAACCAUGGGCUCAACCUGUGGCCUGCAUUUGACACUGUUUUUCUUGAGUACUGGAGAGGCAGACGGAAUGCCUAGUGUAGCGGUGAAAUGGGUAGAUAUUAGGAGGAACACCAGUGGCGAAGGCGGUCUGCUGGACAGCAACUGACGCUGAGGCGCGAAAGCGUGGGGAGCAAACAGGAUUAGAUACCCUGGUAGUC